ACCUGUUUUGUAUGACAGGCUAAAGGUUAUAACCUGUUUUGUAUGAUAGGCUAAAGGUUAUCACCUGUUUUGUAUGACAGGCUAAAGGUUAUAACCUGUUUUGUAUGACAGGCUAUAGGUUAUAACCUGUUUUGUAUGACAGGCUAUAGGUUAUAACCUGUUUUGUAUGACAGGCUAAAGGUUAUAACCUGUUUUGUAUGACAGGCUAUAGGUUAUAACCUGUUUUAUAUGACAGGCUAAAGGUUAUAACCUGUUAUGGAUUAUAGGCAAAAGGUUAUAACCUGUUAAGGAUUAUAGGCUAUAGGUUAUAACCUGUUAUGGAUGAUAGGCUAUAGGUUAUAACCUGUUAUGGAUUAUAGGCAAAAGGUUAUAACCUGUUGUGAAUGAUAGGCUUUAUGUUAUAACCUGUUAUGAAUUAUAGACUAUAGGUUAUAACCUGUUAUGGAUUAUAAACUAUAGGUUAUAACCUGUAAUGGAUUAUUGGUUAUAACAAGAAAGGACCACACUCUUUUUACUAACAAAACUGUGAUGACUGUUGAGAAGGUGACAUAUCCAGAAAGAAGUCCUAACUAUAUGUUCUUUGAAUUCAUACUUAAAAAAUGUCCGCAUUGUUUUUUUAAAAUUGUUAACCAAAUUAGAUUUAGUGAUUGUACAAUAUUAAAAGUGUACAUUUUGUUCAUUUAAAGCGAAGAAGGGAAUAAGACAUAAUUGCGUAUCUUAUUAUUAUCUUAUUAUUAUAAAGAGUAAGAAACCUCUUCUUCUGGUCUGUUUCUAUCCACAACGUUGUAUACAAUUGCUGGUUUUGUAAUGCACUGUAGAGAAAGCAGUUCCACUGUUCAUUUUUCUUCUCUUUUUUUUAAAUAGAAAUGGUAUUUCGAUGGUGUAUUCUUUUUGUUUGAUAAAUAAAGUUUUGAUACAAAAUA
ensembl:lncRNA